UAAGUAAAAGUUAUGUGUCAUUGUUAUACACAAUUAUGUGUUAGUGUUAUACACAGUUAUUUAUCAUUUUCUAUUAAUUCAGUUGUAGCCACUACAAUAUCUAUGACACUGGUAGUAAUUAUAAGAACAAUAAUGAUGUUCUAUAAGAGGAAAUGAUGAUUAGGAACAAAAACUUACAGAAGAUAUCAUGCGGUGGAUGGAUAAUAUGCAAAAAAUAUUAAGCAGUAUAUGAAUUUUCAUAUUGCGUAGAGAUAACAAAAUGAAUUUUAAAAAAUGUCGACACGGUAAUAAGAAAUAGCAUCGUGACAAAGAAUAUAUAAAGACAGUUUCAUUUUUUAUAAAUAAAAAUUUGUUGUUCCAGAUUUUGAAA